rnacentral:rRNA from 1 species
UACGGGGGGAGCAAGCGUUGUUCGGAUUUACUGGGCGUAAAGGGCGCGUAGGCGGUCGUGACAAGUCACUUGUGAAAUCUCCGGGCUUAACUCGGGACGGUCAAGUGAUACUGUCGGACUAGAGUACAGAAGGGGCAACUGGAAUUCCUGGUGUAGCGGUGAAAUGCGCAGAUAUCAGGAGGAACACCGGUGGCGAAGGCGGGUCUCUGGGCCGAUACUGACGCUGAGGAGCGAAAGCGUGGGGAGCGAACAGG